rnacentral:tRNA from 1 species
UCGUCGCCUAGCGUCCUCGGGCGGCGGUCGCGCCGGUCAGGCGAGGGUGACGGCGCCGCCGGUGCCGUCCACGGUGAUCGUGUCGCCGGUGGAGAU